GGAUGUUGUCGAUGCGCAGUCUAAGGGGCCGGGGCCGUGCGGGACUUGAACGACGGCCAAGAGCACGCAUGGUGAGCGGCGGUGAGAUGUGUCGCCACGGCGAUGGGGCCUGUCGCUACGGCGAUGGCACAUGUCGUAAGCGACAUGUUAGGAGAACGAGGGAGGGGGGAGGAAGAGGAGGAGGAGGAAGGUUGAAGCGAGCAGCCGCACGACUUGGACUGCAGCUUCCGUAUUUGGCUCGUCGUCAUUUGAGCGUGCUCAUAGCGCGCGUGCGCGGCUCCGCCCCCUGGUGUCGCUGGCCUAUCGCAUUCAUCUGCUACUUCCUGCCCGUGCACACGUUGCGGCCGCCGGCCAAUCGGGUGGCGCUAUAUCGCUCCUUCCCGACUCGCCUGCUGUCUCGGGCGUGGGGGCGUGUCAACGACGUGGAGCUUCCCGCGUGGUUGCGCAAACCCGUCUACUCGCUCUACAUCAGGACCUUUGGAGUCAACAUGCAGGAAGCCGCAGUGGAGGACUUGCGUCACUAUCGGAAUCUCGGCGAGUUUUUCCGGCGGGGUCUCAAAGAGUCGGCGCGUCCGCUUUGCUCCGCCUCCUGCCUGGUGUGUCCAGCAGAUGGCAGGAUCGUUCACCUUGGUCGUGUGUUGAGUUCUGAGGUGGAGCAAGUGAAGGGCGUCACGUACAGUCUCGAACACUUCCUCGGGCCGCAAGAUGGGCGCAGCGACGCGUUUCCGGCCACCCGUGCGGACUCGUCUUUGUCGUUCCGGGACCGCCUCCUGACGAGUCACGACAACGAGCUGUUCCAUGUGGUCGUGUACUUGGCGCCCGGCGACUAUCAUCGCUUCCACUCGCCUGCCGACUGGACGGUGGCGCUCAGGCGGCACUUCACAGGUCAGAGUGCACGGCCGCUUCCUGUUUGCUGUUUGGUGUCGCCAGGUUCUCUGCUGUCGGUGAGUCCAGGCGUGGCGGGCCGGGUGAAGGAGUUGUUCUGCCUGAACGAGCGCGUGGCUCUCAGCGGCCGAUGGCGGCACGGCUUCUUCUCCUUCACGGCCGUGGGCGCCACCAACGUGGGCUCCAUACGCAUCUACUUCGACCAGGAGCUGCAGACGAACGCGCCUCACGACAAGAAAGGUCGUUUCCAUGACCUCCGGUAUGCGGGGGCGGAGCCAGCCGAAGGGGGCGUGGCGCUGCAGCGGGGCGAGGCGGUCGGCGAGUUCAACUUGGGCUCCACCGUGGUGGUCCUCUUCGAAGCCCCCAAAAGUUUCGCCUUCAGCGUCAAGCCGGGACAAACCGUGCGGAUUUUGGGGGUGAAGAAACAUCACAGCGUUUAUUCCGGGUGUCAUUUAUUCAUGGACCUCGUGGAGUGAAGGCACCGCGAUGCCCUGGCAUGUUGGCAAGGAGCGCUACGGUCGUCACUUAUUGAACAGAACAAACAUUUCAACGCAAAUACAAAAUGAACACACUCGCAAGAAGUCGCUGUAGACCACAACUCACACCCAGACGCUCGCACAGACUAACUGGCCACUUAAGACUCCAGAUACUGACUUCACGCUCGAGGCCACGCCCCUUAAAGCCUCGCCACAGGCAGCAGCAGCACAACCAAUAGGAGAGAGGCUUGCAGCAGUCGCCGUGGCAGUGAAAGCGCGGUUGGGCGAGUCCGCCGUGCGACCACGCAUCGGCGCCGCCGACGUCCUUGGACGCCCACGUGGUCU